CUCCCCGUACCCACCUCACCUUAUCUGCAUCCCCUCCAUCCAAAUCACACAAACGAAAAUCCAUUUUUCCCCACCCGGCCACCUCUCUCCCCCUGAUUCCUCUGUCUCUCUCGCACCACAGCGUUGUCGCCGCCAACUCCGAUCCCAGGAAGCUCCAGCGGACUCCAACCCACUGCUCACGGUUCUGCCCCACUCCAUCUAUGUUCUCCUCUGUUCCUUCGCCUGAGGCCACCGCGCCCCUGCACGCGUGGCACGCAACAACCCUAGCCGCCACGCGUCGCCGGCGUGGCUCCGGCAGCUCCGGUUUAUCGACCCACUACCCCUGCGGCCCUGCCUCACCUCACGCGCGGCAGCACGCUCGAGCUUGACGUUGGUAUUCCGCCUCUUCUACCUCAACUCCGGUGUUGACGUUUCUGGUUCUGGUGUUUACACGCUCGAGCUUGACGUUGAUCGAUGUACAACACUUAUGCAUUACAAUCAGGAGAAAUCCAUGCAGAAGAAGCCUGAAGAAUUAUUCAAGUUAUUUGUUUAUAGCAUGGUACUUCUGAAUUCCUGCAAUCUCUGUACUAAUUUUGUAUUUCGUGGGGAGCCACAGAUAUUUCCAAAUACUAGAAUGAUGCAUGAUUGGUCAGCACACAAACUCUUGGCCAGGUUCCUCUCACAUCUUAUCUUGUUUGUAAUAUAUUCUUCUUAAACUGUUAACACGAUGAGCAUGUACUUGUUUCAUCCAAGAACGUAAACAUGAAAAGUAUUCCUCUUGUGCACUCUCCUUCCCUGACAUACAGGGCACACUACGGUGGUUGGAUGAUACAACCAUAAACAGACAGCUAAGCGAUCAGAUGCGGCGACUGUGCGAGUGUGUCAGGUAUGUCGAAUUCACUGAUCCCAAACUAUUGGAUCUGACUAGGAUCUCCUCUUCUCUGUAAUACUUAGGACCUUCUCCUCUACCUACUCGGGCCAACAGUUUCAGCAUCCAGCAACCAUGGUGACAAAGAUGAACGUACUGGAACUGCUCUAAGUUUCAACAUUCUCGGUUACAGAGGCUCGAUUGUUCCAAGUCGAUGUUGUUGGCGCUAAAACAUAAAAGACUACUAGUGCCAAGCUGGAUUUACUAGGAGAUUGCAAUAUUCGAUGACGCAUGGCUCAGAUGUUGGUUGCAAGGUCAAGAAUAGGGGUGCUACUAGAUAGUUUCACAUUAUGCCUUAGAAUGCCAUUUCCAGUGCCAAUGUUUCAAUCAUUAUGUUUCGGAUAUUUUUGGUGUCAAUAUUUCGAUCAUUAUGUUUCAGAAUGGCUGACACGUUGGCUGCAAGGUCAAGAAUGAGAUUACUACUAGUUUCACAUCUUGUAAUUUUUGUAUGGUGUACUUUGUAAUGCAACCAAGUUGAUUUAAUAUAUGAGAAAUUUCUGUUUA